rnacentral:rRNA from 1 species
GACGAACGCUGGCGGCGGGCUUAACACAUGCAAGUCGAACGGAAAGGCCCGGCUGUUGUGGGGUGCUCGGUUGGCGGACGGGUUAGGAACAUGUGUGUAACCUGCUCUUGACUAUGGGAGAACUUUAGGGAACUGGGGCUAAUACCGGAUAGGAGCUCCGGCUGCAAUGUGGGGGCGUGGAAGUUGAGGGGUGUGGGGGUGGUCUCGUGGCUUAUCAGCUUUGUGUUGGGGUAGUGGCUUACCAAGGCGUCGCACGGUAGCAGGCCUGAGAGGGUGGCCGGCUACAUUGGGACGGAGAUGAGGCACAGACUACUCUGGGAGGCAGCGGUGGGGAGUAUUGCACAAGGGGCGGAAGCCUGAUGCAGCAACGCCGCGUGGGGGAUGACGGCAUGCGGGUUGUAAACCGCUUUCGCCUGUGACGAAGCGUGAGUGACGGUAAUGGGUAAAGAAGCACCGGCUAACUACGUG